rnacentral:lncRNA from 1 species
GAAUACAGUCUUCAUUUUCUUUCAAAAAUACUAUCUCUCUCCUCGAUUCCUCCUUCAAUCGCUCUUCCCGUCUCUUUAUCUUUAUUUCAAAUUAUAAUCAAUUUCGAUCUUAUACACACUUAUAUAUACAUAUAUAUAUAGUCACACAUAUAUGUUGAACAGGAAAAUUGGGUUUCAUAACAUAUUGGGGCUUUUGUGUUAAUUGAAUUUGUGAAACAUGUGUUAGAUUGAUUGGAAUUGUGCAUGGGAUGGAUAUCUUGUUGAAGUUUUGGAGUCGUGGAUGAAGGAGCCAUCAUGGAUUUGCUAAUUAUGGUUGUGCACGAUGACAAGAAAGAGGGGGUGACUGUGAGAGAGUGGGGAUGGGGCGAUUGUGGACUGUCAAGCCGUUGGAGAUGAGAAAAGAGAAGUAUGGAUAGAGCAAAUCGUAAAUCAUAUUGUUUGUUUUUAAUUAAUUUUCUUGGUUGCUUUUAGUUGAUUUGAGGUUGCUUUUAGUUGAUUCUCAGGUUGUUUUGUUUUGUGAUAUUGGUACUGACCGGGCCACGACACUCUUUUUUACGAUGUUUGUAACCAGUUACAAAAUAAUUAAGUGUAAUUUUGAAAUUUUAUCUUCAAAGUUAUAUUUAUAGUU